rnacentral:rRNA from 1 species
AGUGAACGCUGGCGGUAGGCCUAACACAUACAAGUCGAACGGCAGCACAGUAAGAGCUUGCUCUUACGGGUGGCGAGUGGCGGACGGGUGAGGAAUACAUCGGAAUCUACUUUUUCGUGGGGGAUAACGUAGGGAAACUUACGCUAAUACCGCAUACGACCUACGGGUGAGAGCAGGGGAUCUUCGGACCUUGCGCGAUUGAAUGAGCCGAUGUCGGAUUAGCUAGUUGGCGGGGUAAAGGCCCACCAAGGCGACGAUCCGUAGCUGGUCUGAGAGGAUGAUCAGCCACACUGGAACUGAGACACGGUCCAGACUCCUACGGGAGGCAGCAGUGGGGAAUAUUGGACAAUGGGCGCAAGCCUGAUCCAGCCAUACCGCGUGGGUGAAGAAGGCCUUCGGGUUGUAAAGCCCUUUUGUUGGGAAAGAAAAGCAGCAGGUUAAUACCCCGCUGUUCUGACGGUACCCAAAGAAUAAGCACCGGCUAACUUCGUG